ACAUGCAAGUCGAGCGGGCGAGGUUGCUUCGGUAACUGAGCUAGCGGCGGACGGGUGAGUAAUGCUUAGGAAUCUGCCUAUUAGUGGGGGACAACAUUCCGAAAGGAAUGCUAAUACCGCAUACGUCCUACGGGAGAAAGCAGGGGAUCAUUUGACCUUGCGCUAAUAGAUGAGCCUAAGUCGGAUUAGCUAGUUGGUGGGGUAAAGGCCUACCAAGGCGACGAUCUGUAGCGGGUCUGAGAGGAUGAUCCGCCACACUGGGACUGAGACACGGCCCAGACUCCUACGGGAGGCAGCAGUGGGGAAUAUUGGACAAUGGGGGGAACCCUGAUCCAGCCAUGCCGCGUGUGUGAAGAAGGCCUUUUGGUUGUAAAGCACUUUAAGCGAGGAGGAGGCUCUCUUGGUUAAUACCUAAGAAGAGUGGACGUUACUCGCAGAAUAAGCACCGGCUAACUCUGUGCCAGCAGCCGCGGUAAUACAGAGGGUGCGAGCGUUAAUCGGAUUUACUGGGCGUAAAGCGCGCGUAGGUGGCUAAUUAAGUCAAAUGUGAAAUCCCCGAGCUUAACUUGGGAAUUGCAUUCGAUACUGGUUGGCUAGAGUAUGGGAGAGGAUGGUAGAAUUCCAGGUGUAGCGGUGAAAUGCGUAGAGAUCUGGAGGAAUACCGAUGGCGAAGGCAGCCAUCUGGCCUAAUACUGACACUGAGGUGCGAAAGCAUGGGGAGCAAACAGGAUUAGAUACCCUGGUAGUCCAUGCCGUAAACGAUGUCUACUAGCCGUUGGGGGAUUUGAUCCUUUAGUGGCGCAGCUAACGCGAUAAGUAGACCGCCUGGGGAGUACGGUCGCAAGACUAAAACUCAAAUGAAUUGACGGGGGCCCGCACAAGCGGUGGAGCAUGUGGUUUAAUUCGAUGCAACGCGAAGAACCUUACCUGGCCUUGACAUAGUAGAAACUUUCCAGAGAUGGAUUGGUGCCUUCGGGAAUCUACAUACAGGUGCUGCAUGGCUGUCGUCAGCUCGUGUCGUGAGAUGUUGGGUUAAGUCCCGCAACGAGCGCAACCCUUUUCCUUACUUGCCAGCAUUUCGGAUGGGAACUUUAAGGAUACUGCCAGUGACAAACUGGAGGAAGGCGGGGACGACGUCAAGUCAUCAUGGCCCUUACGGCCAGGGCUAC
rnacentral:rRNA from 1 species